rnacentral:misc_RNA from 1 species
GAUGAAGAACGUAGCGAAAUGCGAUAAGUAGUGUGAAUUGCAGAAUUCAGUGAAUCAUCGAAUCUUUGAACGCACAUUGCGCCCCUUGGUAUCCCGAGGGGCAUGCCUGUUCGAGCGUCAUUUCACCACUCAAGCCUGGCUUGGUGUUGGGCGGCGUCCCCUUUGGGGACGCGCCUCGAAACGCUCGGCGGCGUGGCACCGGCUUUAAGCGUAGCAGAAUCUUUCGCUUUGGAAGUCGGGGCCCCGUCUGCCGGAAGACCUACUCGCAAGGUUGACCUCGGAUCAGGCAGGGAUACCCGCUGAACUUAAGCAUAUCAAUAAGCGGAGGA